rnacentral:tRNA from 1 species
GUCUGGAUAGCUCAGUUGCUUAGAGUGUGCUGCUGAUAAUGCCAAGGUUGCAGGUUUGAUCCCCGUAUGUGACA